rnacentral:rRNA from 1 species
UACGGAGGGUGCAAGCGUUAUCCGGAUUCACUGGGUUUAAAGGGUGCGUAGGUGGGUUGGUAAGUCAGUGGUGAAAUCUCCGAGCUUAACUUGGAAACUGCCAUUGAUACUAUCAGUCUUGAAUACUGUGGAGGUCAGCGGAAUAUGUCAUGUAGCGGUGAAAUGCUUAGAUAUGACAUAGAACACCAAUUGCGAGGGCAGCUGGCUACACAAAUAUUGACACUGAGGCACGAAAGCGUGGGGAUCAAACAGG